GGUCUACUGGUGAGAAAAAGGACGCUCGGAGGAGUACCCAGCACAGGCAGACAGGUCCUCUCUGGCCUUGGAGCAGGUAAGGUCCCUGCCCCGACAGAACUCUUUUCAGCCAGAGACUCAGGUAGGACUCACUAAAAACAACCUGUCCUGAGCUACGUAGAGCGUGCAGUGGGAGCACAGAAGAGGAGGCAGGACCACCGCUGCUGAGUGAGAAAUCCGAGUCCCACCUUGCCUGUGAGCCUGAAGGAGGAAGAACACUGCUGGCAGAAGGCCUGGGUGUGGGGCUCUGGAGCAGGAGUCCCGGCGCCAUGAGGGAGCUGCGGGCAUUUCUCUCGCUGGAGCGUGGACAGCAGAGUGAGUGGAGGAAGAUGGGUCGGGGAGGUGCGACAAGUCAGCUUAUAAAGGACCCUGGAUGCCAUGUUAAGGGGUUUGCAUCAUCCCAUGAUGAUGGGCAGCCACAGAAGGUUCCAGAAGAUGGAGCUGAGGUCCAUCAAUGACUAAGAAAGGAGUUAGGAGGCCUUUCUGACAGCUUUUGUAAGAGCCUGCUGAAGUAGUUUAGGAGAAAAAUGAUGAGGCUCGAACUAGGGAGUGAAGGCAGCAGUAGUGGAGAGAGGAAAGCACCAUGAACUUGGAGUUAGACUGUCCAUGGCCAAGUUCAGUCCUCCCACUUAUUAACAGGGACCCUGGGC
rnacentral:lncRNA from 1 species